GAUGAACGCUGGCGGCGUGCCUAAUACAUGCAAGUCGAGCGAACGGACGAGAAGCUUGCUUCUCUGAUGUUAGCGGCGGACGGGUGAGUAACACGUGGAUAACCUACCUAUAAGACUGGGAUAACUUCGUGAAACCGGAGCUAAUACCGGCUAAUAUUUUGAACCGCAUGGUUCAAAAGUUAAAGACGGUCUUGCUGUCACUUAUAGAUGGAUCCGCGCUGCAUUAGCUAGUUGGUAAGGUAACGGCUUACCAAGGCAACGAUGCAUAGCCGACCUGAGAGGGUGAUCGGCCACACUGGAACUGAGACACGGUCCAGACUCCUACGGGAGGCAGCAGUAGGGAAUCUUCCGCAAUGGGCGAAAGCCUGACGGAGCAACGCCGCGUGAGUGAUGAAGGUCUUCGGAUCGUAAAACUCUGUUAUUAGGGAAGAACAUAUGUGUAAGUAACUGUGCACAUCUUGACGGUACCUAAUCAGAAAGCCACGGCUAACUACGUG
rnacentral:rRNA from 1 species